UACGUAGGGUGCAAGCGUUGUCCGGAAUUAUUGGGCGUAAAGAGCUCGUAGGCGGUUUGUCGCGUCUGCUGUGAAAACCCGAGGCUCAACCUCGGGCCUGCAGUGGGUACGGGCAGACUAGAGUGCGGUAGGGGAGAUUGGAAUUCCUGGUGUAGCGGUGAAAUGCGUAGAUAUCGGGAGGAACACCAGUGGCGAAGGCGAUCACCUGGGGUUGUUCUGACGCUGAGGAGCGAAAGCUAGGGGAGCAAACGGGG
rnacentral:rRNA from 1 species